UGCAGUCGAGCGGUAGCACAGAGAGCUUGCUCUCGGGUGACGAGCGGCGGACGGGUGAGUAAUGUCUGGGAAACUGCCUGAUGGAGGGGGAUAACUACUGGAAACGGUAGCUAAUACCGCAUAACGUCGCAAGACCAAAGUGGGGGACCUUCGGGCCUCAUGCCAUCAGAUGUGCCCAGAUGGGAUUAGCUGGUAGGUGGGGUAACGGCUCACCUAGGCGACGAUCCCUAGCUGGUCUGAGAGGAUGACCAGCCACACUGGAACUGAGACACGGUCCAGACUCCUACGGGAGGCAGCAGUGGGGAAUAUUGCACAAUGGGCGCAAGCCUGAUGCAGCCAUGCCGCGUGUGUGAAGAAGGCCUUCGGGUUGUAAAGCACUUUCAGCGGGGAGGAAGGCGGUGAGGUUAAUAACCUCAUCGAUUGACGUUACCCGCAGAAGAAGCACCGGCUAACUCCGUGCCAGCAGCCGCGGUAAUACGGAGGGUGCAAGCGUUAAUCGGAAUUACUGGGCGUAAAGCGCACGCAGGCGGUCUGUCAAGUCGGAUGUGAAAUCCCCGGGCUCAACCUGGGAACUGCAUUCGAAACUGGCAGGCUAGAGUCUUGUAGAGGGGGGUAGAAUUCCAGGUGUAGCGGUGAAAUGCGUAGAGAUCUGGAGGAAUACCGGUGGCGAAGGCGGCCCCCUGGACAAAGACUGACGCUCAGGUGCGAAAGCGUGGGGAGCAAACAGGAUUAGAUACCCUGGUAGUCCACGCUGUAAACGAUGUCGAUUUGGAGGUUGUGCCCUUGAGGCGUGGCUUCCGGAGCUAACGCGUUAAAUCGACCGCCUGGGGAGUACGGCCGCAAGGUUAAAACUCAAAUGAAUUGACGGGGGCCCGCACAAGCGGUGGAGCAUGUGGUUUAAUUCGAUGCAACGCGAAGAACCUUACCUGGUCUUGACAUCCACAGAACUUAGCAGAGAUGCUUUGGUGCCUUCGGGAACUGUGAGACAGGUGCUGCAUGGCUGUCGUCAGCUCGUGUUGUGAAAUGUUGGGUUAAGUCCCGCAACGAGCGCAACCCUUAUCCUUUGUUGCCAGCGGUUAGGCCGGGAACUCAAAGGAGACUGCCAGUGAUAAACUGGAGGAAGGUGGGGAUGACGUCAAGUCAUCAUGGCCCUUACGACCAGGGCUACACACGUGCUACAAUGGCAUAUACAAAGAGAAGCGACCUCGCGAGAGCAAGCGGACCUCAUAAAGUAUGUCGUAGUCCGGAUUGGAGUCUGCAACUCGACUCCAUGAAGUCGGAAUCGCUAGUAAUCGUAGAUCAGAAUGCUACGGUGAAUACGUUCCCGGGCCUUGUACACACCGCCCGUCACACCAUGGGAGUGGGUUGCAAAAGAAGUAGGUAGCUUAACCUUCGGGAGGGC
rnacentral:rRNA from 1 species